rnacentral:rRNA from 1 species
UACGUAGGCAGCAAGCGUUGUUCGGAGUUACUGGGCGUAAAGGGUGUGUAGGCGGUCUUCUAAGUUUGGUGUGAAAUCUCCCGGCUCAACUGGGAGGGUGCGCCGAAAACUGGGAGGCUAGAGUGCGGGAUGGGAGAGUGGAAUUCCUGGUGUAGCGGUGAAAUGCGUAGAUAUCAGGAGGAACACCGGUGGUGUAGACGGCUUUCUGGACCGUAACUGACGCUGAGACACGAAAGCGUGGGGAGCAAACAGG